rfam:C.ellipsoidea chloroplast psbA gene
GGAGUGAUGUCUGAGUGGCCGAAAGAGCUCGAUUGCUAAUCGAGUAUACAGCUCCCUGUACCGAGGGUUCGAAUCCCUCUCACUCCG